AGGAAAGAAGGAAGAACAGGUGG
rnacentral:piRNA from 1 species